CAUAACCUCAGUUCUGCCUAGCUCCAUAACUAGUAGGUUUCACAAUUUGAUGUCCUCUUGCUGUGCUGACCCACUUGGAACUGGCUCUGACAUUCUGCCACCAACACACAGGAAGCAAACAGGUUUUUUUCUACUGGUGUUGGUGUACUUUGUGCUCAGAGAAUAGAAUAUCCCAGGGGAGUGUCAAACCAUGAGAAAAGGAAAGGUGGAUUGGGACACUGGUGCUGGCACCCACUUGCUUAUUUGCUGAGGCUUUUUGGUCCUUCUUGUUCCUCAGAGAAAGGUGAGUGGGGCGAUGCGUAGAGCAGCUUCUGAAGAUCAGCAGGCC
rnacentral:lncRNA from 1 species